GCUCCCGGGCGGCUCUGGAGGAGCUCGGUGUUUGCCUCUAGCCCUUCGCUACCGGAGGAUCAGGUUCCUCCCCUCCUCCCCCUCCAGCUCCGGCCGCCGCCGCCGCCGCCGCCGCCUCCUUCUUGCAUGACACAGCAGAACCGCAGCUGCUGCAGCAAUUUCAAGCCAUCCGCCCAGGAAGCGCCGCAACCGGGACUCGGGAGGGGUGGAGGGGGCGAGGCAGAGGCCGCGGCCCCAGGGGAUCCUUGGCCCCACUGUGCACCACACACUCCUUUCCCAGCCCAGGGGCACGCGAACAAAAUGAGGCUCAAGCUGACCAGGCCGAGCCGGAGGAACGCUGGGGCUUGGCAGCAGAAGGGAUGGGACCAGAGAGAAGGGUGUGGAGGAGACCCCAGUGAGGGCCAGGACAUUUCAGGUAAAGAGAGGUCAUAUCUCCGUACCUCACUUCCUGACACAAACAAGUUUUCACUGUUGUCAGCAACAAAGCCCUAAUAUAGCUGCGGAAGAGAAAAACUGCAUUGCAUUUUGCCUCCUGCAAGCAUCAUCAACAGUUACUGGAGGAACGUAAUUCCAGAAAGCUUGAAAGCCGUGGUGAUGGUAAUUAUGUAUCAAAUGCCUGGUUCUAUUUCUGUUAUUAUUGUUUUGUCAUUUCUGUUUUCCCAGCGAUCUGACUGAACUCGCAGAGGGACAAAUCCAGUUUUUCUUUUUGACUUUUGUCAAACUAAAUCAGGCCUGAUAGAAAACUCAUUGCUCUCCGGGGAAACAAAGUAGGAGCCACGAAAUGUCAUUUUAACAGAGCGUGGGUUUGGUGACUGUAGGAAAGGAUUUGAGGACGCUCCUUCUGUUCGGCUUCCUAUGUCAUGAGCACAGGCUCCACGCACGCACAGACACCACGGCUCCCGGAUGCUGUGGCUCCCCGAUCGGGGCUCCUGCAGCGCCAGAAGCCCCUCCGGGAUGCUUCGAGGGGCUCCCGGUGGGUGGAGGUACGGACGCCGCUGCGGCCGCCGCCGCCAGUCCUGCUGCUGUUGUUGCUGCUGCAGUCACGUGGGAGCCCCUUUAAGUUUCCAUAGAGAGGCCUCUCUGGUGUCACAUGAUGGACAUGAUAUAAUGAAACAACAUUGUGGAGAGGAAAGCAUUAGGGGAGCCCACGGCUACAAAAACAAGUGAGUGAGAAGAGGUGGGAGGAAGAGAAACUACGCCACCUCCCCUGCAGCCGAGUGCACGCAGCAGCCUGGCGUGACAAGUGGGCGACGCCGGGGGGCAGGGAGCCGGGGUCCUUGGCCCUGGCCGGGGACCCCACCGCCCACCGCGCGGAGGACAACUUUUAGCCGGCAGCCCAGACCAGCGCGGCACCUGUCUCCGGAGUCUCCACCGCUCCUCCCGAUUCAUCCCAGGGAAAUUCUCAAGAAUACGCUCUACAAAUCUACGUGCGCAUCAUUUUCACCUCGCGUCGCGCCCGGGAGGAAGGAACGAGGCAAGGAGCUAAAGCAGCGUGCGUUCAGCCCUGGGGCAUUUUAUUAAUGCUUUUACGAGUUAGAAGAGUUGGGAUAAUUUGCCAUCUGGAGUUUCUCUGCCUUGCUGAUCUGAGCUCAGACCUGCCAAUUUACCAGAGAUAAUUGAUAACACCCUGUAACAGCUGAGAGGAAAAUGGAAGAAACGGAGAUACUUUUAGUGAAGCAGAAUAAACCACUGAACAGGAAAAAUGAGGAAGCUGUGAGUACCAGUGGAAGGAACGAGCCAGGAAGAGGGACUGGAACCAUCUCAGAAGCCAUGCCCCUCAGGCUGGAACUUGCCCUGUCUCCUCGCAGAUGAGGACAAGUCCUGCGCUUGGGGAUCCUCUGUACGCCCGUUCACUGGUGCAGGUCUUCUGAACAAAUGCCUCCUGAGGAUUUCUGUGCCUGGAAAAUAUCUGUUAACAGACUGCUUUUACACCUACGUAAGUAGAGGCUUCUGCUUAUAAGUCAACCUCAAGGGAGUUUUAUUUUGUCCCUGGAUGAUUCCUCAGUACAUUUUUCUUUUUCUUUUUUGAGGUAGGGUUUUGCUCUGUUGCCCAGGCUGGAGUACAGUGGUGUGAUCACAACUCACUGCGGCCUCAACCUCCCAGGCUCAAGCGAUCCUCCCACCUCAGCCUCCCAAGUAGCUGGGACCACAGGCGUGUACCACCCACGCCUGGCUAGUUUUUUAAAAUUUCUUUUGUAGAGGCAGAGUCUCCCUGUGUUGCCCUGGUUUCAAACUUGGGCCAAGUGAUUCUCUGCCCCAGCCUCUCAAAGUGCUGGGAUUACAGGUGUGAGCCACCGUGCCUGACAAGCCUGAUAUGUUUUUUUAAAUGAUCAUUAGUAUUUGAUCUCUACUCUUUUUCUCUCAACCACCCAACUCCCGGUUUACGGUCAGGAAGAAUCUAUAACAUGAACUCCUGCUUAAAAACAAGGGUAUAGAUCCCAUAUUCAGGUCUUAGACUGGGAAGAAGAGAAGGCAGUCAAAAAUAUUAAAUAUAUGAAUUUCAGUAAAUUCAGUUGGGGAUGCCAUUUCAGCUUUGCAGUCAGUUACUCCAGAAUAUGUCAAUGUAUGGCAAAGCAUGUGACAGCAGGAUCUCUGCACCCUCUCCAUUUACCAGCUGUGGUGGAUCUCUUAGCCACAUCUCUGUUUAUAAUGUGCUUAUUGAAAACUAAUGUAUUACUUUUAUUAUCAUAGCUACCAUUUACUGAAUAUUUACAUUGUGCUAACACUGGUUCAGAUGGCUUCAUCAUAUUUACCUGAUUUAAUCCUCACAACAACCUUAUGUGCUAGGUCCAGUUAUUACCAUCUUUUUUUUUUUUUGAGACGGAGUCUCACUCUGUCGCCAGGCUGGAGUGCAGUGGCGCGAUUUCGUCUCACUGCUGCAACCUCCGCCUCCCAGGUUCAAGUGAUUCUCCUGCCUCAGCCUCCCAGGUAGCUGGGACUACAGGCACAUGCCACCACGCCCAGCUAAUUUUUGUAUUUUUAUAGAGACGAGACUUCACCAUGUUGGCCAGGAUGAUCUCAAUCUCUUGACCUCGUGAUCCGCCCAUCACAGCCUCCAAAAGUGCUGGGAUUACAGGCGUGAGCCACCGCACCCGGCCUAUUACCCUCAUUUUACAGAUGAGGAGACUGAGGCACAGAGAGUUAAAGUGAUUUGUGCAGGGUUGUGUGAGGAGCUGGUGGCAGAGCUUGGCAUUCUGGCUCUGGAGUCUGCAUUUGGCCAUCUCACCGUACAGUGUCAUAGAAACAGGAAACUCGAGAAGAUAAACUGCCAGGCUGUAUUUUGGAGUCAGUAUUUUAACACUGUCACCAUCUCAAGCAUGAUCUGUGGGACUCAUCACUGUGCUCUUUGACUUGAACUUCUUUAAGGUUAGUGGGAAAAUGAAGCUUUAGAGAAGAUGGGACUGGCCUAAGGUCACACUGCAUGUCAGAAGUGUGGUGGAGGGUCCAGGUCUUCUGACCAUUCAGUGCAAGCCAAAUUGUGCUAAUUUCCAAUUUUUCUCCCUUUCUCUUGGUGAGCUAUUUGGUGCUACUUCUACUCCUCAUGACCAAAGCUGGCUUUCAUGGUUUACUCAUGUACUUACUGAUGAAACCCUGAGACUUGGGGCCAGUGACUGUUCAGAGGUCCAUGUGAAGAUGCGCUGAAUGGUAUAAAGGACAGAGCAGUAAAGAGUGCUGGCUGAAUGCCUGGGCUGGCAAUCAGGCAUGUUGGAGUUUGAGUCCCAGUCUGCCACUCCAGCUCUGUGACCAAGAGGAAGUGAAGUCAUGUACCCUUUCUAAGUCUCUAGCCCCUCUUCUGAAAGACGAAGAUGCCACCACCAACCAUGUUAGUGGUUGUGAAUGCCAAGAAAGUCCAUGUGAAGCACAUAGCAUAGUGUCUGCCAUGCGUUAAGUGUUCCAAAAAUGGAAGCUAUGACUAUUUCACAGAGUACACUUCCCAUCACUUUUCAGUUCAUUUUGGCCUUCUCCCUCAAAAGCACUCCAGUGUUCUGAUCCAGCUGAUAAAACACCAAACAUUCACAUAGUGCUUUAAAAGUGACCCACUGUUUUUACAGACUGCAUUACAUAUGACCCUAACAACCACUGCAAUAUAGAAAUUCGCAUCUCCAUUCUCCAGAUCAGGAUACCGAAGCUCAGAAAAAUUAAAUGAUUUGCCCAGGAUCACAUAGUUAGUAAGCAGCCCAGCCAGAUCCUGUGUUAACUUGUUCAUCCGCUUCCUAUAAGAAAACAUCCAUUCAAGGCACAUGGGGCAACAAAGAAGGACUUAGAGCUGUGUGGCCCCUCGUCAGGGCAGUACCAGUUGCACCCAUAGUCCGGCCUGAAUACUCAGCUUAGGACUAUUGUGUCCAAUGUCCCAAACAUUUUGAAGCUACAUCUUAAAGAAGUGUCCUGCUCAGAUGCAGUUCUCCUUGUGAAAUCCGCAGGCCCCAAGGAAAGUGACUUUAAUCCAGUUUGCUCAUGCAAGAACAGACUGGCAUUUCACAUCCAGGAAAACAAUGGAUUUGUACUGUUCAGCUUUUGCCAUGCAAGGAGUUCCUGGUGUGGUUUAUUAAUUUACAUCUCAGGCUCCAGCUUCACUAUCAAUCAGAUUUGGAAGAAAAAAGUUACAAAGAAAGGCAGCUUGCUGAGAAACAGCGGAAGCAUGACGGUACAGACUGGGUUUUGAAAUGGAGACACAUUCUCAUGGCUUGUGGGCUGAGAGACACUGAGAAAGGAUUUUGUUCUUGAAAGAUGAUUGUUUUAAUGCUGGAGAUGGAGAGUUUUGACAAUUUUAAGUGCAUGUUCUGUGUGUAAGAAAGAGUCAUUACGUUUUUUUUUUCUUUCAGAUGUUGCCAUGCCUUAAAAUUGCUGAUGAUUAAAAUAGAACAUCCUGAGUUACAGAAAUUCAGCCCUAGUGUAUCCUGGCCUAAAAAUACAGAACAAUCAAGUUGAUUGUUGGAAAUGAGAGGCUAGGCAGGGUUGGAAACAUGCUAAUGUUUACUGAGUGAAAUCUUUCCUUCUCAGUAGAGUUGCCCUUGCAGCUGAAAGUCACUGAAAGACUCAACAAAAUAAGCAGAUCCCACUUGUCUCACUCUGUUCUCCUAUGCAUGCCCUGGAAAGAGAAUGAAUGAGCCCUUUUUAAUUUAUCAACUGGUUUUCUUCCAUCUCUUUACUAGUGAGCCAUGGGGGUUUUUUGCCGUUAACUGGGUAGCCAGUCU
rnacentral:lncRNA from 1 species